rnacentral:rRNA from 1 species
UUAAGCGACUAAGCGUACACGGUGGAUGCCCUGGCAGUCAGAGGCGAUGAAGGACGUGCUAAUCUGCGAUAAGCGUCGGUAAGGUGAUAUGAACCGUUAUAACCGGCGAUUUCCGAAUGGGGAAACCCAGUGUGAUUCGUCACACUAUCAUUAACUGAAUCCAUAGGUUAAUGAGGCGAACCGGGGGAACUGAAACAUCUAAGUACCCCGAGGAAAAGAAAUCAACCGAGAUUCCCCCAGUAGCGGCGAGCGAACGGGGAGCAGCCCAGAGCCUGAAUCAGUGUGUGUGUUAGUGGAAGCGUCUGGAAAGGCGUGCGAUACAGGGUGACAGCCCCGUACACAAAAAUGCACAUACUGUGAGCUCGAUGAGUAGGGCGGGACACGUGGUAUCCUGUCUGAAUAUGGGGGGACCAUCCUCCAAGGCUAAAUACUCCUGACUGACCGAUAGUGAACCAGUACCGUGAGGGAAAGGCGAAAAGAACCCCGGCGAGGGGAGUGAAAAAGAACCUGAAACCGUGUACGUACAAGCAGUGGGAGCACGCUUAGGCGUGUGACUGCGUACCUUUUGUAUAAUGGGUCAGCGACUUAUAUUCUGUAGCAAGGUUAACCGAAUAGGGGAGCCGAAGGGAAACCGAGUCUUAACUGGGCGUUAAGUUGCAGGGUAUAGACCCGAAACCCGGUGAUCUAGCCAUGGGCAGGUUGAAGGUUGGGUAACACUAACUGGAGGACCGAACCGACUAAUGUUGAAAAAUUAGCGGAUGACUUGUGGCUGGGGGUGAAAGGCCAAUCAAACCGGGAGAUAGCUGGUUCUCCCCGAAAGCUAUUUAGGUAGCGCCUCGUGAAUUCAUCUCCGGGGGUAGAGCACUGUUUCGGCAAGGGGGUCAUCCCGACUUACCAACCCGAUGCAAACUGCGAAUACCGGAGAAUGUUAUCACGGGAGACACACGGCGGGUGCUAACGCCCGUCGUGAAGAGGGAAACAACCCAGACCGCCAGCUAAGGUCCCAAAGUCAUGGUUAAGUGGGGAACGAUGUGGGAAGGCCCAGACAGCCAGGAUGUUGGCUUAGAAGCAGCCAUCAUUUAAAGAAAGCGUAAUAGCUCACUGGUCGAGUCGGCCUGCGCGGAAGAUGUAACGGGGCUAAACCAUGCACCGAAGCUGCGGCAGCGACGCUUAUGCGUUGUUGGGUAGGGGAGCGUUCUGUAAGCCUGUGAAGGUGUGCUGUGAGGUAUGCUGGAGGUAUCAGAAGUGCGAAUGCUGACAUAAGUAACGAUAAAGCGGGUGAAAAGCCCGCUCGCCGGAAGACCAAGGGUUCCUGUCCAACGUUAAUCGGGGCAGGGUGAGUCGACCCCUAAGGCGAGGCCGAAAGGCGUAGUCGAUGGGAAACAGGUUAAUAUUCCUGUACUUGGUGUUACUGCGAAGGGGGGACGGAGAAGGCUAUGUUGGCCGGGCGACGGUUGUCCCGGUUUAAGCGUGUAGGCUGGUUUUCCAGGCAAAUCCGGAAAAUCAAGGCCGAGGCGUGAUGACGAGGCACUACGGUGCUGAAGCAACAAAUGCCCUGCUUCCAGGAAAAGCCUCUAAGCAUCAGGUAACAUCAAAUCGUACCCCAAACCGACACAGGUGGUCAGGUAGAGAAUACCAAGGCGCUUGAGAGAACUCGGGUGAAGGAACUAGGCAAAAUGGUGCCGUAACUUCGGGAGAAGGCACGCUGAUACGUAGGUGAAGCGACUUGCUCGUGGAGCUGAAAUCAGUCGAAGAUACCAGCUGGCUGCAACUGUUUAUUAAAAACACAGCACUGUGCAAACACGAAAGUGGACGUAUACGGUGUGACGCCUGCCCGGUGCCGGAAGGUUAAUUGAUGGGGUUAGCGCAAGCGAAGCUCUUGAUCGAAGCCCCGGUAAACGGCGGCCGUAACUAUAACGGUCCUAAGGUAGCGAAAUUCCUUGUCGGGUAAGUUCCGACCUGCACGAAUGGCGUAAUGAUGGCCAGGCUGUCUCCACCCGAGACUCAGUGAAAUUGAACUCGCUGUGAAGAUGCAGUGUACCCGCGGCAAGACGGAAAGACCCCGUGAACCUUUACUAUAGCUUGACACUGAACAUUGAGCCUUGAUGUGUAGGAUAGGUGGGAGGCUUUGAAGUGUGGACGCCAGUCUGCAUGGAGCCGACCUUGAAAUACCACCCUUUAAUGUUUGAUGUUCUAACGUGGACCCGUGAUCCGGGUUGCGGACAGUGUCUGGUGGGUAGUUUGACUGGGGCGGUCUCCUCCUAAAGAGUAACGGAGGAGCACGAAGGUUGGCUAAUCCUGGUCGGACAUCAGGAGGUUAGUGCAAUGGCAUAAGCCAGCUUGACUGCGAGCGUGACGGCGCGAGCAGGUGCGAAAGCAGGUCAUAGUGAUCCGGUGGUUCUGAAUGGAAGGGCCAUCGCUCAACGGAUAAAAGGUACUCCGGGGAUAACAGGCUGAUACCGCCCAAGAGUUCAUAUCGACGGCGGUGUUUGGCACCUCGAUGUCGGCUCAUCACAUCCUGGGGCUGAAGUAGGUCCCAAGGGUAUGGCUGUUCGCCAUUUAAAGUGGUACGCGAGCUGGGUUUAGAACGUCGUGAGACAGUUCGGUCCCUAUCUGCCGUGGGCGCUGGAGAACUGAGGGGGGCUGCUCCUAGUACGAGAGGACCGGAGUGGACGCAUCACUGGUGUUCGGGUUGUCAUGCCAAUGGCACUGCCCGGUAGCUAAAUGCGGAAGAGAUAAGUGCUGAAAGCAUCUAAGCACGAAACUUGCCCCGAGAUGAGUUCUCCCUGACCCUUUAAGGGUCCUGAAGGAACGUUGAAGACGACGACGUUGAUAGGCCGGGUGUGUAAGCGCAGCGAUGCGUUGAGCUAACCGGUACUAAUGAACCGUGAGGCUUAACCUU